rnacentral:rRNA from 1 species
UACGUAGGCAGCAAGCGUUGUUCGGAAUUACUGGGCGUAAAGAGUGUGUAGGCGGUGCUCUAAGUUCGGUGUGAAAUCUCCCGGCUCAACUGGGAGGGUGCGCCGGAAACUGGAGUGCUGGAGCGCGGGAGAGGAAAGCGGAAUUCCUGGUGUAGCGGUGAAAUGCGUAGAUAUCAGGAGGAACACCGGCGGUGUAGACGGCUUUCU